rnacentral:rRNA from 1 species
UACGUAGGGGGCAAGCGUUGUCCGGAAUCCUUGGGCGUAAAGCGCGUGUAGGCGGUCCGGUAAGUCCGCUGUGAAAGUCGGGGGCUCAACCCUCGAAUGCCGGUGGAUACUGUCGGGCUAGAGUGCGGAAGAGGCGAGUGGAAUUCCUGGUGUAGCGGUGAAAUGCGCAGAUAUCAGGAGGAACACCAAUUGCGAAGGCAGCUCGCUGGGACGUCACUGACGCUGAGACGCGAAAGCGUGGGGAGCAAACAGG